AACUCGACAUUUCGACGCACAUUGCGGUCCACGGAUCUCGUUCCCGGACCACGCCUGGCUGAG
rnacentral:rRNA from 1 species